rnacentral:lncRNA from 12 species
CAAUUUCAGGCCUUAACAUACCACCAUCUAAGUCAGAGUAACAUUGAAUAUUUUCUGAAUUUUUGUGUCUUUCACACCUCUUAGGGUGCACCAGAGCUUUGACAUUUUUGGAACAUAUGGACAUCUUCUUUCGUAUGGUUAAACCCCCAGUACUGGUGGCAGAAACUGAGGCGUGGUUUGGUGAAGUUUUGCUCCUUAAGAAGGCUGCUGCUUCAGAGAGGUUUAUGAUUCCAUCUCUCCUGAGACUCAUCAGUGCAUUGGGUAAGUGUUUGAACGGUGCCUUGUGCACAAAUGAUAAAGAAAAUUGUGGAAUCAGCAGGAAAUUACUCAGUGUUUUUUAUUUGGUCUAAAAUAACAUCGGACAAGAAAUGAAAAAGGACCAAGGCAGGAAGAAAAG